UGAUGUUAGCGGCGGAGGGGAGAACACGUGGGUAACCUGCCUGUAAGACUGGGAUAAUCCGUGGAAACCGGGGCUAAUACCGGAUGGUUGUUUGAACCGCAUGGUUCAGACAUAAAAGGUGGCUUCGGCUACCACUUACAGAUGGACCCGCGGCGCAUUAGCUAGUUGGUGAGGUAACGGCUCACCAAGGCAACGAUGCGUAGCCGACCUGAGAGGGUGAUCGGCCACACUGGGACUGAGACACGGCCCAGACUCCUACGGGAGGCAGCAGUAGGGAAUCUUCCGCAAUGGACGAAAGUCUGACGGAGCAACGCCGCGUGAGUGAUGAAGGUUUUCGGAUCGUAAAGCUCUGUUGUUAGGGAAGAACAAGUGCCGUUCAAAUAGGGCGGCACCUUGACGGUACCUAACCAGAAAGCCACGGCUAACUACGUGCCAGCAGCCGCGGUAAUACGUAGGUGGCAAGCGUUGUCCGGAAUUAUUGGGCGUAAAGGGCUCGCAGGCGGUUUCUUAAGUCUGAUGUGAAAGCCCCCGGCUCAACCGGGGAGGGUCAUUGGAAACUGGGGAACUUGAGUGCAGAAGAGGAGAGUGGAAUUCCACGUGUAGCGGUGAAAUGCGUAGAGAUGUGGAGGAACACCAGUGGCGAAGGCGACUCUCUGGUCUGUAACUGACGCUGAGGAGCGAAAGCGUGGGGAGCGAACAGGAUUAGAUACCCUGGUAGUCCACGCCGUAAACGAUGAGUGCUAAGUGUUAGGGGGUUUCCGCCCCUUAGUGCUGCAGCUAACGCAUUAAGCACUCCGCCUGGGGAGUACGGUCGCAAGACUGAAACUCAAAGGAAUUGACGGGGGCCCGCACAAGCGGUGGAGCAUGUGGUUUAAUUCGAAGCAACGCGAAGAACCUUACCAGGUCUUGACAUCCUCUGACAAUCCUAGAGAUAGGACGUCCCCUUCGGGGGCAGAGUGACAGGUGGUGCAUGGUUGUCGUCAGCUCGUGUCGUGAGAUGUUGGGUUAAGUCCCGCAACGAGCGCAACCCUUGAUCUUAGUUGCCAGCAUUCAGUUGGGCACUCUAAGGUGACUGCCGGUGACAAACCGGAGGAAGGUGGGGAUGACGUCAAAUCAUCAUGCCCCUUAUGACCUGGGCUACACACGUGCUACAAUGGGCAGAACAAAGGGCAGCGAAACCGCGAGGUUAAGCCAAUCCCACAAAUCUGUUCUCAGUUCGGAUCGCAGUCUGCAACUCGACUGCGUGAAGCUGGAAUCGCUAGUAAUCGCGGAUCACCUAUUCCUCUUAAUACGUUCCCGGGCCUUGUACA
rnacentral:rRNA from 1 species